CACGUAGGGCGCAAGCGUUGUCCGGAAUUAUUGGGCGUAAAGAGCUCGUAGGCGGUCUGUUACGUCUGCUGUGAAAACCCGGGGCUUAACCCCUGGCUUGCAGUGGAUACGGACAGACUAGAGGUAGGUAGGGGAGAAUGGAAUUCCCGGUGUAGCGGUGAAAUGCGCAGAUAUCGGGAGGAACACCGGUGGCGAAGGCGGCGAUCUGGGUAGAUACUGACGCUGAGGUGCGAAAGCGUGGGGAGCAAACAGG
rnacentral:rRNA from 1 species